rnacentral:rRNA from 1 species
UCCGGUUGAUCCUGCCAGAGGCCACUGCUAUCGGAGUUCGAUUAAGCCAUGCGAGUCGAGAGGUGUAAGACCUCGGCAUACUGCUCAGUAACACGUGGACAACCUACCCUGAAGAGGGGGAUAACCCCGGGAAACUGGGGAUAAUACCCCAUAGGCUAUGGAUGCUGGAAUGCUCUGUAGUUGAAAGGUCCGCCGCUUCAGGAUGGGUCUGCGGCCGAUUAGGUUGUUGUUGGGGUAACGGCCCAACAAGCCUGUAAUCGGUACGGGUUGUGGGAGCAAGAGCCCGGAGAUGGAUUCUGAGACACAAAUCCAGGCCCUACGGGGCGCAGCAGGCGCGAAAACUUUGCAAUGCGAGAAAUCGUGACAAGGGAACUCCGAGUGCCUGUAAAAUCAGGCUGUCCGCCAGUGUAAAUAACUGGCGAAGAAAGGGCCGGGCAGGACCGGUGCCAGCCGCCGCGGUAAUACCGGCGGCUCGAGUGGUGGCCACUAUUACUGGGCUUAAAGCGUUCGUAGCUGGCUUGUUUAAGUCUCUGGGGAAAUCUUCCGGCUUAACCGGAAGGCGUCUCAGGGAUACUGGCAGGCUAGGGACCGGAAGAGGUGAGAGGUACUCCAGGGGUAGGAGUGAAAUCCUGUAAUCCUUGGGGGACCACCUGUGGCGAAGGCGUCUCACCAGGACGGCUCCGACAGUGAGGAACGAAAGCUGGGGGAGCAAACCGGAUUAGAUACCCGGGUAGUCCCAGCUGUAAACGAUGCGCGUUAGGUGUAUCGGUGACCACGAGUCACCGAGGUGCCGAAGAGAAAUUGUGAAACGUCGCCGCCUGGGAAGUACGGUCGC